rnacentral:sRNA from 1 species
GCUGGGCAUAGUGUUGGGUGCCUGUAAUCCUAGUUACUCAGGAGGCUGAGGCAGGAGAAUUGCUUGAACCCAGGAGGUGGAGGUUGUGAUGAGUUGAAAUCAUGCCACUGCACUCCAGCCUAGGUGAUGGAGCAAGACUCCGUCUCAAAAAAAAGGAUCGAAGUUUUGUUUUUUUUUUUUUUUUUGGACAGAGUUUCACUGUUGUCCAGGCUGGAGUGCAGUGGCACGAUUUCGGCUCACUGCAACCUCCGCCGCCCGGGUUCAAGCAAUUCUCCUGGCUCAG